rnacentral:misc_RNA from 1 species
UCUUUUCUUUUGAUAGGAGAGUCUUUAAAACCAGUGUUAUUUUUGUAAGUUUAAGAGAAGUUUGUGUAUUGAAUUUUUAAUAUUAAAGAGCUUUGUUAAACUUAGACUUAAGUUUAGGUCAUUUUGGGGGUUUAGCUCAGUUGGCUAGAGCAUCGGCUUUGCAAGCCGAGGGUCAAGGGUUCGAGUCCCUUAACCUCCAUUGGGCUUAUGUCCUAAAUUGUAAUUAAGUAUGUUUUUAAGCAACUUUAUUAAAGUAAUUGUUGGAAUGUGAAACAGAGGAAGUUAAAAUUUCUGGGUUAAGUUGAGAUCUGUUGAUAUUAAGAAGAAUCUCUAGAAGCAAAAGCAAGCUUUCGAUAAAACCCGAAGUUGUUUCGCUAAAGUGCAAGGAUUAAACAGGAUUGUAUUUUCCAGUAGCCUAUUUUAUAAACGAUCUGCAUUUAGUAAAUAGUUUUUAGUUAGGAAAUAAUGUAUAUUGCUAAGUGUGAUGUC